rnacentral:rRNA from 1 species
UACGUAGGUGGCAAGCGUUGUCCGGAUUUACUGGGCGUAAAGAGCGCGCAGGCGGUCGUUCAAGUCGCGUGUGAAAGCCCCCGGCUCAACUGGGGAGGGUCACGCGAUACUGAUCGACUCGAAGGCAGGAGAGGGUAGUGGAAUUCCCGGUGUAGUGGUGAAAUGCGUAGAUAUCGGGAGGAACACCAGUGGCGAAGGCGGCCUUCUGGGCCACUUCUGACGCUGAGACGCGAAAGCGUGGGGAGCAAACAGG